rnacentral:sRNA from 1 species
AUGGCGCGUUAUUAUUAUUGUUUAUUUUUAAACACUUCGCCAGUUUAGCAGCUCUAUACAUGGGGCCUGCAUACAAAUACACGUCUAUCCUCCCACCUUCAUCAUUCUCAACAAUUGAAUGAUAGAGCAUAGGCAUAGCGCGUAGCAGACUACAAAAGAGUUGUGGGGAACCCUCUCACUGUUUCUCCUUCCCCAACAGUCUUCGCCAUAAUUUGUCACAAAAGAAUGACUUUUUAUCGAACCAAACAUAUACAUACAAGGGAAGCAUAAAUAUAUAAAUUUUGGUGAAGCGUUAUUAUGUUCGGCUGAUAUUGGGUUGCGUUGCAAACGCGCACUAAUCACAAUGGAGGAGUUUGGAUAUCAUUAGAAUUAUUGAUU